GAUGAAGAACGCAGCGAAAUGCGAUACUUGGUGUGAAUUGGAGAAUCCCGUGAACCAUCGAGUCUUUGAACGCAAGUUGCGCCUCAAGCCAUUAGGUUGAGGGCACGUCUGCCUGGGCGUCACAUAUCGUUGCCUGAUGCCAGUUUCCUCGUGAUGGGUGACUGUGCAGGGCGAAUGAUGGCUUCCCGUGAGCAUUGUUGCCUCAUGGUUGGUUGAAAAUUGAGUCCUUGGUAGGGAGCGCCGUGAUAGAUGGUGGUUGAGUGACGAACGAGACCCAAUCAUGUGAGACCCCUACCGAAUUUGGCCUUCAUGACCCACAUGCGUCUUUGGAACGCUCAUGACGAGACCUCAGGUCAGGCGGGGCUACCCGCUGAGUUUAAGCAUAUCAUAAGCGGAGGA
rnacentral:misc_RNA from 1 species